rnacentral:rRNA from 1 species
UUCGGACGUGCAGCCUGCAACUCGGCUGCACGAAGCCGGAAUCGCUAGUAAUCGCAGAUCAGCAUGCUGCGGUGAAUACGUUCCCGGGUCUUGUACACACCGCCCGUCACACCAUGGGAGCCGGGAAUGCCCGAAGUCAGCGGCCCAACCGAAAGGAGGGAGCUGCCGAAGGCAGGCCUGGUGACUGGGGUGAAGUCGUAACAAGGUAUC